GAUGGACAGCCCACGCAACGUAGACGUUCAGCUGGUCAAACAUUCACUUCGAAACCUGAUGUGUGUGUAGACGCAUGCAGAACCCAAAUCUUGUUUGGUAUACGACCCCUACAGGAAGAGCAUGGCGACGAACCCAAGGACGCUAGACAAAUCGCCCUGGACGUCUGGAAGUCCUUGUACUUGGAAAU